AACAUGGCUAAUAAAUGCAAAAAAGGGAUGCCUUGAAUUUUAAAAAUAGUUGUGUAGUGCAAAAAUAAGAUAUGAAAUUUUUUAAAAUCUAAUUACUAAAACAAAGAAAUUUAUCUUUUGAGAAUAUAAUUUAAAGUGAAGUAAAACAUUUCAGUAACUUAAAAAAGAAAUCAAACGAGAUACCGUUAGUAGUGGCGAGCGAAUAUGGUUUUAAAGCAAAAAUUUUAAUUUAUAAAAAAGAAUCAAAGUAGGUGUUAGUCCUGUAAGUUUUAUAAUUUUAAUUUAUUUUAAAUCGAAUUAUGUUAAAUUUGAUAUAAAUUUUGGGGAUCUAUCCUCAGGCUUAAAUAAAUUUUAAAAUAUCGAUAGUGAAUAGUACCGUAAGGGAAAGGUGAAAAAGAACUUUUAAGAGUAAAAAGAACCUAAAAUUUGUUGCAAAUAAUCUGUUGAAGCUAAAUAAAAUUUAGUAACAGCGUACCUUUUGCAUAAUGGGCCAGUGAGUUUGUAUUUUAAGCAAGUUUAAUAUAAAAAGACGAAGAUAACUCAAGAUUUAAAAAUCGUAAAAGUUUAAAAUACAAGACCCGAAGCUGAGUGAUUUAACCAUGAGCAGGCUGAAAAUUUUAUGGUAACAUAAAUUGGAGGGCCGAACCCGUUUCUGUUGAAAAAGAUUGGGAUGACUUGUGGUUAGGGGUGAAAGGCUAAUCAAACUCAGGGAUAGCUGGUUUUCUGCGAAAUAUAUUUUAGUAUAGCUUAUAAAUAAGUUAAAUGGGGUAAAGCACUUUUAAAAUAAAGGGGAUUUUUAAUCUUACUAAAUUUUUUUAAACUAAGAAUACAUUUAAUAUUUUUUAUAAAGUCAGACUAUAGGCGCGAAGGUUUAUAGUCAAAAGGGAAACAGCCCAGAUUAUUUAAUAAGGCCUUUAAUUAAAUUUAUUAAGUGAAAAGAAUGUGAAAAAAUUUUAACAAUUUUAAAGUGGGCUUGGAAGCAGCCAUCUUUUAAAGAAAGCGUAACAGCUCAUUAAUCUAAUUUUUUCGCUUCGAUAAUUUAUGGAGACUUAAAUAAUUAGCCGAAUUAGUAAAUUUUGGUAGCAGAACGUCCUGUAAGCUGUUGAAGAUUAUUUGUUAAAUUAAUUGGAGGUAUCAGGAGUGAGUAUACUGGCAUAAGUAGCUAAAAAUAAUGUAUUUAAUCAUUAUCACCGUAAAUCUAAAGUUUUCGAUUUAACAUUAAAUGAAAUCGAGUUAAUAGCGAUCUCUAAGACAAAUUACAAAUGUAUAAGUUAAUGAGAAUUUUUAUUUGUGACAAAUUUUUUUAAACAAAAAAUUAUAUUUUGAUUAAAUUUUUUUAUUUAAAAAAAUUUCUGGAAAAAGCAAAUUUAAUAAAAUCGUACUUUAAACCGACACAGGUAGAUGGGUAGAAAAUACUAAGGUGGACAAGAUAAUUGUGUUGAAGGAACUCGGCAAAAUGGCUCUGUAACUUAGGAAGAAAGAGUGACUACCCCAUUUGGGGAGUUAUCAUUAAAGAGGGAGAAGCGACUGUUUAUUAAAAACACAAAUCUCUGCUAAUUCGAAAGAAGAUGUAUAGGGAUUGACACCUGCCCGGUGCUGUAAGGCGAAUUGGUAGCGCUAUGGCGCUUAAAAUAACCCCCAGUAAACGGCGGCUGUAACUCUGACGGUCCAAAGGUAGCGAAAUUCCUUGUCGGGUAAGUUCCGACCUGCAUGAAUGGUGUAACGACUUCUCCGCUGUCUCCAGCACAAUCUUGGUGAAAUUGAAAUUCCUGUGAAGAUGCAGGAUUUUUGCAGUUAGACGGAAAGACCCCAUGCACCUUUACUAUGAUUUUAAGUUGUAUUUUUAUUUUUUUGGUGUAGAAUAGGUGGGAGCUUAGGCAAAAAUGAAAUACCACCCUAAAAAUUUAAAUUUACUUAACAUUUUUAUGAACAGCUUAUAAAAGGUAGUUUGACUGGGGCGGUCGCCUCCUAAAAAGUAACGGAGGCGUGCAAAAGUAUUUUCUAAUAAUUUAUAAUUAUUAUGAGCGUAAUGGUAUAAAGAAUGCUUGACUGUAAGACUUACAAGUCAAACAGAGACGAAAGUCGGCCAUAGUGAUCCGGUAAUUUUGAAUGGAAAAAUUAUCGCUCAACGAAUAAAAGGUACGCUGGGGAUAACAGGCUGAUGGUUUCUGAGAGUCCUUAUCGACGAGACCGUUUGGCACCUCGAUGUCGGCUCAUCACAUCCUGGAGCUGAAGCAGGUUCCAAGGGUUCGGCUGUUCGCCGAUUAAAGUGGUACGUGAGCUGGGUUUAGAACGUCGUGAGACAGUUCGGUCCCUAUCUGCUGCAAAAGUUUAAAAUUAAGAAGAUUGUAUUCUAGUACGAGAGGACUGAAUUCAGUACACCUCUGAUGUAUCGGUUGUUUUUAUCAAAGAGCAGCGCCGAGUAGUUAAGUGUAUAAAAAAUAAUUGCUGAAAGCAUAUAAGCAAGAAGUUUACUUUUAAAUAAAUUUUAAAGAAUCGUAAAAGAUCAUUACGUUGAUAGGCCAAAAAUGUAUAGAUUGUAAAAUCAACAGUUUAAUGGUACUAAAUUUCUAAAAAAAAAUUAGA
rnacentral:rRNA from 1 species